rnacentral:rRNA from 1 species
AUUGAACGCUGGCGGCAUGCUUUACACAUGCAAGUCGAACGGCAGCGCGGGCUUCGGCCUGGCGGUGAGUGGCGAACGGGUGAGUAAUACAUCGGAACGUGCCCAGUAGUGGGGGAUAGCUCGGCGAAAGCCGGAUUAAUACCGCAUACGACCUGAGGGUGAAAGCGGGGGAUCUUCGGACCUCGCGCUAUUGGGGCGGCCGAUGGCAGAUUAGCUAGUUGGUGGGGUAAAGGCCUACCAAGGCGACGAUCUGUAGCUGGUCUGAGAGGACGACCAGCCACACUGGGACUGAGACACGGCCCAGACUCCUACGGGAGGCAGCAGUGGGGAAUUUUGGACAAUGGGCGAAAGCCUGAUCCAGCAAUGCCGCGUGUGUGAUGAAGGCCUUCGGGUUGUAAAGCACUUUUGGCGGGAACGAAAAGGACUGUGCCAAUACCACGGUUCGAUGACGGUACCCGCAGAAUAAGCACCGGCUAACUACGUG